GAUGAACGCUGGCGGCGUGCCUAAUACAUGCAAGUCGAGCGAACAGACGAGGAGCUUGCUCCUCUGACGUUAGCGGCGGACGGGUGAGUAACACGUGGAUAACCUACCUAUAAGACUGGGAUAACUUCGGGAAACCGGAGCUAAUACCGGAUAAUAUAUUGAACCGCAUGGUUCAAUAGUGAAAGACGGUUUUGCUGUCACUUAUAGAUGGAUCCGCGCCGCAUUAGCUAGUUGGUAAGGUAACGGCUUACCAAGGCGACGAUGCGUAGCCGACCUGAGAGGGUGAUCGGCCACACUGGAACUGAGACACGGUCCAGACUCCUACGGGAGGCAGCAGUAGGGAAUCUUCCGCAAUGGGCGAAAGCCUGACGGAGCAACGCCGCGUGAGAGAUGAAGGUCUUCGGAUCGUAAAACUCUGUUAUUAGGGAAGAACAAAUGUGUAAGUAACUAUGCACGUCUUGACGGUACCUAAUCAGAAAGCCACGGCUAACUACGUG
rnacentral:rRNA from 1 species